AUGCAGCUCACAUUAUCAGGACGGGGAACACUGAGACCUGGAGAGAAUCUCAACCUGGUCUGUAAAGUGACAGGAUUCUCUAUCACUACACAGGAUUAUGGUUGGGACUUCAUCCGCCAGCCUUCUGGGAAAGGUCUGGAAUGGGUUGCAGGAAUAUACCCCGAUGAUGGGGGAAAGUGGUACAACCCAUCUCUCCAAAGUCGCGCCACCAUUUCUGCAGACUCCUCCAAAAACCAGGUCUCUGUCCAGCUGAACUCUGUGACGGCUGCUGAUUCUGCUGUGUAUUUCUGUGCCCGAGGAGCACAGUGA